GAUGAAGAACGUAGCGAAAUGCGAUAAGUAAUGCGAAUUGCAGAAUCCGUGAGUCAUCGAAUCUUUGAACGCACAUUGCGCCCUUUGGUAUUCCGAAGGGCAUGCCUGUUCGAGCGUCAUUAUCACCACUCAAGCCCGGCUUGCUGUUGGUGGCAGCGCAGCCGGUCAACCGGCUACGCUCCACCCAAAGAUAAUGACGGCGUCUGCGAGGACUCCUGUACAUUGAGCUUUCGGGCACGUACAUGGCUAGAAGUCCAGGCGCCGGUCGACGUCCUCCGGGACACAUUUUACCAAGGUUGACCUCGGAUCAGGUAGGGAUACCCGCUGAACUUAAGCAUAUCAAUAAGCGGAGGA
rnacentral:misc_RNA from 1 species